rnacentral:rRNA from 1 species
AUUGAACGCUGGCGGCAUGCUUUACACAUGCAAGUCGAGCGGCAGCGCGGGGCAACCUGGCGGCGAGCGGCGAACGGGUGAGUAAUGCAUCGGAACGUAUCCCGUAGUGGGGGAUAACCCAGCGAAAGCUGGGCUAAUACCGCAUAUGCUCUACGGAGGAAAGUGGGGGACCUGCAAGGGCCUCACGCUAUGGGAGCGGCCGAUGUCCGAUUAGCUAGNGGUGGGGUAAGUGGCCUACCAAGGCGACGAUCGGUAGCUGGUCUGAGAGGAUGAUCAGCCACACUGGGACUGAGACACGGCCCAGACUCCUACGGGAGGCAGCAGUGGGGAAUUUUGGACAAUGGGGGCAACCCUGAUCCAGCCAUGCCGCGUGCGGG